rnacentral:rRNA from 1 species
UACAGAGGUCUCAAGCGUUGUUCGGAUUCAUUGGGCGUAAAGGGUGCGUAGGUGGCGCCGUAAGUCGGGUGUGAAAUUUCGGAGCUUAACUCCGAAACUGCAUUCGAUACUGCGGUGCUUGAGGACUGGAGAGGAGACUGGAAUUCAUGGUGUAGCAGUGAAAUGCGUAGAGAUCAUGAGGAAGACCAGUGGCGAAGGCGGGUCUCUGGACAGUAGCUGACGCUGAAGCGCGACAGCGUGGGGAGCAAACAGG